UGGUAUAGAUAAGGGUAUCGUAUGCUCAUGCGUCCAUGGUAAGAGGUGGUUGCGGGAGUGGACCACGGGGUGUGAUUGCGAGAGUGGGUCCACCCAAAUGGUUGAGGGAUUUUAUGGGGUUUAAUAAGUGGUUGCGGGAGUGGACCACGAGGUGUGGUUGUGUGAGUGGAGUACUUAAUCCUACGGGAUUCUUGGUGAGCGGAGCUUGGUAUUUGUCUGAGUGACUAUACCGGUAAGUCGGUAUUCGAUCUGUAGUGAUUGUACCGCAGUUGUUCUAGUCGGUAUUCGAUCUGUAGUGAUUGUACCGCAGUUGUUCUAGUUGGUAUUCGAUCUGUAGUGAUUGUACCGCAGUUGUUCUAGUCGGUAUUCGAUCUGUAGUGAUUGUACCGCAGUUGUUCUAGUCGGUAUUCGAUCUGUAGUGAUUGUACCGCAGUUGUUCUAGUCGGUAUUCGAUCUAUAGUGAUUGUACCGUAGUUGUUAAAGUCGGUAUUCGAUCUGUAGUGGUUGUACCUCAGUUGAUAGUGUCGAUGAUUUGUCUGAGUGACUUCACCCGGUGUUUGGUACUUUGUCUGAGUGUGGUUAGAUUCCGAGGUUUAUGCGUGUGAUUUAACCAGUGGCGGUUAUCACCUUUAUUCAUUAGAGGUUUGCGAGACCAGUGGCGGUUGUCGCCUUGCUUGCGUUAGAGGGUUGUGAAACCAGAGGGGUUGUCGCAUUCAUUGCAUUAGAGUAUGUGUGCACUUUAUUUAUUCUUCUUGGUGUGAGGAUGUGAUAAGUGUUUACCGCUUUCU
rnacentral:lncRNA from 1 species